rnacentral:rRNA from 1 species
CGGGGGGCUGCACCAGUGGGGAAUAUCGCACAAUGGGGGAAACCCUGAUGCAGCAACGCCGCGUGGAGGAUGACGCAUUUCGGUGUGUAAACUCCUUUUAUAUAGGAAGAUAAUGACGGUACUAUAUGAAUAAGCACCGGCUAACUCCGUGCCAGCAGCCGCAGUAAUACGGAGGGUGCAAGCGUUACUCGGAAUCACUGGGCGUAAAGCGCGCGCAGGCGGCCUUUUAAGUUGGAUGUGAAAGCCUAUGGCUUAACCAUAGAACUGCAUCCAAAACUAUCAGGCUAGAGUCUGGGAGGGGAAGAUGGAAUUAGUUGUGUAGGGGUAAAAUCCGUAGAGAUAACUAGGAAUACCAAAAGCGAAGGCGAUCUUCUGGAACAGUACUGACGCUGAGGCGCGAAAGCGUGGGGAGCAAACAGGAUUAGAUACCCGCGUAGUC